UACGAAGGGGGCUAGCGUUGCUCGGAAUCACUGGGCGUAAAGCGCACGUAGGCGGCUUACUAAGUCAGGGGUGAAAUCCUGGAGCUCAACUCCAGAAUUGCCUUCGAUACUGGCUUUCUAGAGGCUGGAAGAGGUUAGUGGAAUUCCCAGUGUAGAGGUGAAAUUCGUAGAUAUUGGGAAGAACACCAGUGGCGAAGGCGGCUAACUGGUCCAGAUCUGACGCUGAGGUGCGAAAGCGUGGGGAGCAAACAGGG
rnacentral:rRNA from 1 species